CAGGCCUAAUACAUGCAAGUCGAGGGGCAGCGGGGUAGCAAUACUGCCGGCGACCGGCGCACGGGUGCGUAACACGUAUGCAACCUACCUUAAACUGGGGGAUAGCCCGGGGAAACUCGGAUUAAUACCCCAUAACACGGUGGAGCCUCAUGGCUCUAUCGUUAAAGAUUUAUCGGUUUAAGCUGGGCAUGCGUUCGAUUAGCUAGUUGGCGAGGUAACGGCUCACCAAGGCUACGAUCGAUAGGGGGUCUGAGAGGAUGAUCCCCCACACUGGUACUGAGACACGGUCCAGACUCCUACGGGAGGCAGCAGUGGGGAAUAUUGGACAAUGGGCGAAAGCCUGAUCCAGCCAUGCCGCGUGCAGGAAGAAGGCCCUCUGGGUUGUAAACUGCUUUUGACAGGGAACAAGAAGUCCAUGCGUGGAUUAGUGAGUGUACCUGUAGAAUAAGCCACGGCUAACUACGUGCCAGCAGCCGCGGUAAUACGUAGGUGGCAAGCGUUGUCCGGAUUUAUUGGGUUUAAAGGGUGCGUAGGCGGCUUGAUAAGUCAGUGGUGAAAGCCGAUCGCUUAACGAUCGAGCUGCCAUUGAUACUACCAGGCUUGAGUAUAGAUGAGGUAGGCGGAAUUGACAGUGUAGCGGUGAAAUGCAUAGAUAUGACAUAGAACACCAAUUGCGAAGGCAGCUUACUACGGGUGUAUUGACACUGAGGCACGAAAGCGUGGGGAUCAAACAGGAUUAGAUACCCUGGUAGUCCACGCCCUAAACGAUGGAUACUCGACAUCAGCGAUACACUGUUGGUGUCUGAGCGAAAGCAUUAAGUAUCCCACCUGGGAAGUACGACCGCAAGGUUG
rnacentral:rRNA from 1 species